rnacentral:pre_miRNA from 1 species
AGUGGAAUUGCUGGGGCAUAUGGUAUCUCUGUUUCACUUUCAGAGAAAUUGCCAAGCUAUUUUCCAAAGUAGCCAUAUCAUUUUACAUUCCUACCAGCAAU